GUCGCGCGAACGGCAACGGUUAUCGGCGGGUACCCUCGCCCUCUGGCCUACCAUCACAACGGGAUCAGUUGUGGUGGCUGUUUGCGGGUUCCGUCACAUGCGCUUGCGCAUUUCGGGCUCGACACUGCGCUACCUCGCAGGUCACCGAUACACGGGUUCGUGAUCGUUGCUCCGGUGCGGUAGACCGGACCUUAUCCGGCCAGUG
rnacentral:ncRNA from 2 species